rnacentral:rRNA from 1 species
GAUGAACGCUGGCGGCGUGCCUAAUACAUGCAAGUCGAGCGAACAGACGAGGAGCUUGCUCCUCUGACGUUAGCGGCGGACGGGUGAGUAACACGUGGAUAACCUACCUAUAAGACUGGGAUAACUUCGGGAAACCGGAGCUAAUACCGGAUAAUAUAUUGAACCGCAUGGUUCAAUAGUGAAAGACGGUUUUGCUGUCACUUAUAGAUGGAUCCGCGCCGCAUUAGCUAGUUGGUAAGGUAACGGCUUACCAAGGCAACGAUGCGUAGCCGACCUGAGAGGGUGAUCGGCCACACUGGAACUGAGACACGGUCCAGACUCCUAGGGGAGGCAGCAGUAGGGAAUCUUCCGCAAUGGGCGAAAGCCUGACGGAGCAACGCAGCGUGAGUGAUGAAGGUCUUCGGAUCGUAAAACUCUGUUAUUAGGGAAGAACAAAUGUGUAAGUAACUAUGCACGUCUUGACGGUACCUAAUCAGAAAGCCACGGCUAACUACGUG